GCCUGUGUGUGUGCUUGUGUGUGUGUGUGUGUGUGUGUGUGUGUGUGUGUGUGUGGAUUAGGUUUGUAUUACAUUGUGGGGAACAAAUGUUCAAUCCAUUAUUUUGACGAUUCGUCCCCACAAAGAUCCAUGAAUAUAAUCAAAAAACUAAAAAUACUAAAAGUUUUGUAUUUAGUUUGGUUACUUAUGGGUAAGGUUAGGGCUGGGUGGGGGUUAAGGUUGUCAGGUUGGGAGCAGAGUUUUCCCCAUAGAAAUGAAUGGAGAGUCCCCACAAAGGUAUAAUUAUAAACCUGUGUGUGUGUGUGUGUGUGUGUGUGUGUGUGUGUGUGUGUGUGUGCGUGUAUGUGUGUAUGUCUGCAUGUAUGUGCGCGUGUGUGUGUGUGUGUGUGUGCAUGCGUGUGCGUGUGUGCACACCAUUCUUAUUGAUUUUGAAUAGGCAGAUCUUCUUUGGGAUGUCAAGAAGGGAAGUUCUUAAGGUCUUAUGAAUUUACAGCCAUUGUCAAUGGGCCAUUGUGUGCUGCUCUUAAGAUAAAUGUUGUGCUCACACCCAUUUCAUGUUUAUAUUUUAGCCUUUGAAUACAAAUUACUGUGCUGAAGGUUAGAGCGGGUAGUGAAUUGCUGCUGCGAUUUGCAAAACAGGCAUGCUGGAGGGGCCAACUUAGAAACAGAGGUAUUAAAGAAAAAUGAAGAAGUAGCCGUGCCUCAGUGACAGACAUGGAUGGGUGUCGCAGGACUUGAGUUUCUCAGCAUUUACAAGUAGACGGAGUCUAGAGGACCUUCUGGAGAGUCUGGUAGGUAGUGGGCCAGAGGUCUGUGAACAAAGACACAGGACAGAAGGACCUUAACAAACCAAGGGACUUCAUCUGUGCUUCUCCCGUAACCACUUUUCCAAUGCAAGGCCGCAGCAAAUAAAGACUAUUUAUUAUGCAGCUGCUGAGCAUUAAAUUGAGAGAUGCAACAAACUGCAAAGGCUGCUAAAGAAAAAACAGCCAAACAAAAGGUAAGAACAGACAGCAUCCGAGCUUCCCUCCUAAUUUCCGUUUCUCCUCCAGGAGUUCCUUAAACCGACUUAGAUGACCAAGCCAGUUUGGUGCUAGCCUCCUGUCAACUCACCGUGGAUAAAUAUUAUUUUGUCCCCAUUAUUCAUGCCAUUCUCCAAUUUUGUUGUCAAAUAUCUCGGUGGUCCAUAACACAAACCAAGCUCUCUCAACUAUGAAUGUUUGCUCCUCGAAAUCUUCAAAUCUCACCACUAUUCUGUGUGCAUGGAGUCUCACCGAGUCACAUGGGUACUGCAGUCCAAUGGCAUGCGAGCUGGAUAAUCGGGGGCUCUAAACUGCCCGCAGUGUGUGUCUGCUGCAGGCUUCCCUGUCUGGAAUGUUUGUAGUUGCAUUAAUGUAAAUAUGGUGAUACAUGCGUCUAUCCCUUUGUUUUCAUGUGGCAAGCAUGGCUCCCAUGUGCACAUUAGUCAGUGUUGGGGAAGUUACUCACAAAAGUAAGCCAUUAAAAACAGUGGAAAGUUCAGGUCCAGAAAGUAUAAAUCCAGACCAAGGUUUUGUUUCAACCAGCCAGUUGAGUAUACUCUCCACUGUAUUACUGGAUUACUUUUGCCGAGUAAAUUCCCCAACACUGACCACAGUUUAUACUCACCUGCAAGUUCACAAAAUAACCUCUGCCUUCAUGUUUUAAUGGAAAAUAUUAAUGCGCUGUAUGUUAAACUGUUUACAUUUUGCUGAAUGUACUCUACAUUUGUCAUGUCGUCUUGUUGAGACAGAACGUUCACCCAGAGAUGUUUGUGUCUGUGUUUUUUGCUAAUGGUAUGAUUGAGCAAAUUCAUAGCUCCCUCUGGGAUUCCCUCGCUGUUGGAAUGUCUUAGAGAAACACAGCAGUCUCUGGGGAAUGAUUUGAACAUGACUUAAAUGCAAACCUCACCAUUUUUCAUGUCUAAUACUGCAGUAUAUCCCACAACAAAACUCACAGGUAGGUGUUUUCAGGUUACUGGAUGCACCAGUUCAGGACCUAACAGGACCUGAAUCCAAAUGCUUUCAAUGACAUUCAACAAUAGCAAAUAUUGCUUAAACAGAGGAAAUAACCCAGAAAUUUGUCAAUUUCUAGUUUGCGGAACUUGUGGGUCUUUGAUUUUUCCAUAACAAUGAUUAGGGAAAAGCCCUUUCUGUUCAGUUCCGGAAAUAUUUGAAUAUUUGACUCUUUAUACUCAACAAAUCCAGACCAAUGCUUUGUUUCAAGCAGCCGGCUGAGUGUGAGUAUAUUAUCCACUGUAUCCCGGAAAUAUUUUGAAGACGUGAUUAUAUUUCUCUGGUUUUUGUGGCAGCUGACACAACAUUUCAUCAGUUAGAUGGUCCUUUCAUCCCAAGCAGCUCUUCUCAUGGCUGUACAGAUCUCACUGCUGUCGCAUCUCUUAGAACUAAAUAUUCACUUUUCUGUUUUCUCUGCGUCUUUGUGGAUGUGAAAGCCGGACAACGACGAGGUGAAGGUUAAAGUGGAAGAUGAUGGCCAGCAGCAAAAUGGAUGAACUCGAUCCUGAACAUUCCUGAAGACCUGAAGACAGCUGGAUGCACGGCUGGGUGGGGAAUAGUCUGGUGAAAGGCCUGCUGAUAAUUAUUUUAUUCAAAUUCAAACUAGACAAGUAUUAAAUGUCAUUAAUUAAAU